GCGUUUGGCGCAGCGGGAGCGCAACUGCCUUACAAGCAGUAGGUCGUAGGUUCAAAUCCUACAACGCC
rnacentral:tRNA from 1 species